rnacentral:rRNA from 1 species
GACGUAGGGCGCGAGCGUUGUCCGGAUUUAUUGGGCGUAAAGAGCUCGUAGGCGGCUUGUCGCGUCGAGUGUGAAAUCCUGCGGCUCAACUGCAGGCUUGCAUUCGAUACGGGCAGGCUCGAGUUCGGUAGGGGAGACUGGAAUUCCUGGUGUAGCGGUGAAAUGCGCAGAUAUCAGGAGGAACACCGGUGGCGAAGGCGGGUCUCUGGGCCGAUACUGACGCUGAGGAGCGAAAGCGUGGGGAGCGAACAGG